rnacentral:rRNA from 1 species
AGCGAACGCUGGCGGCGUGCUUAACACAUGCAAGUCGUACGAGAAACAUGUCCUUCGGGGCAUGGAGUAAAGUGGCGCACGGGUGAGUAACACGUGGGUAACCUACCCUGAGGAUCGGGAUAACUGGCCGAAAGGCCCGCUAAUACCGGAUAAGACCACAUGGGCUCUGGCCCAAGAGGUCAAAGUCGGCCUCUCAACGAAGCCGACACCACAGGAUGGGCCCGCGGACCAUUAGCUAGUUGGUGAGGUAACGGCUCACCAAGGCCGAGAUGGUUAGCUGGUCUGAGAGGAUGAUCAGCCACACUGGAACUGAGAUACGGUCCAGACUCCUACGGGAGGCUG